rnacentral:rRNA from 1 species
UACGUAGGGUGCGAGCGUUGUCCGGAAUUAUUGGGCGUAAAGAGCUCGUAGGCGGUGUGUCACGUCGGCCGUGAAAACCUGCAGCUUAACUGUGGGCGUGCGGUCGAUACGGGCAUCACUGGAGUUCGGCAGGGGAGACUGGAAUUCCUGGUGUAGCGGUGAAAUGCGCAGAUAUCAGGAGGGAACACCGGUGGCGAAGGCGGGUCUCUGGGCCGAUACUGACGCUGGAGGAGCGAAAGCCGUGGGGAGCAAACAGG